ensembl:lncRNA
UGGAGAGGACGUUGAAAAAGUCAACAACAUCAAAUUCCUGGGUCUGUAUAUCACAAACGAUCUAACAUGGACUGUGAACACUCACUACUUAGUGAAGAAGGCUCAGUAGAGGCUUUUCUUCCUAAGAAAGCUCAAGAAAGCUAAAGUACCUUCUCAGCUUUUAGUGAAUUUCUAUAGGAGCACAAUAGAAAGCAUUACGUUACAGUGUGUUACAUUGUGUUACAGUGUGGUAUACCACCUGCACUACACAGAAUCAAAGAGAUCUGGCACGGAUAGUUAAGACUGCACAGAGAAUUGUGGUAAUACUUUGUGAGGGGGUAUCUCUUCAUCCAUCUCCAGUGCAAAGCAUCCACCGGGAUGAUGCCAUGGUGUAUCAGAACGCCCACCACACACCAGCUUACUGGAGGAGAGGAGACAGUGAUGAAGCCAAUCAGUAGAUAUGGGGAUUGUUAGGAGGCCAUUAUGGUCAGAGGCCAAGGGGCAAAUUUGGCCAGGAUGCCAAGGUCACAGCUCUACUCUUUUCGAAUAACAUCCUGGGAUUUUUAAUGACCACAAAGUGUCAGGACCUCAGUUUAACGUCUGAAGCUUUAAAUCUGAAGUUCAGCCUUUUAUAUUGCUCUUACGAAAGGUUCCAGUUUACUCCAGUGACUAGUUUUGCAGAAUGAGAGGACAGGAUAGUGGAAAGCAUUACUCAGAUUGUGCAGAUGAGCCCCCAGACACAAGGCUCAAGCAUCCUCCAGUAUGUCUCCCUCUGCAAGUGGACCUUGGAGUUACUCACUAACAGACCACAAUCUAUUAGAAUCAACAACCACAACUCCUCCAUCCUUACCUUGAACACUGGUGUACCACAGGGCUGUGUAAUAAGCCCAAUCCUCUACUCCCUCUUCACCCUUGACUGCAUACCUGUACAUGGCUCUAACUUCAUAAUCAAGUUUACAGAUCACACCACAGUGGUUUUUCUGAUCAGAGCCUAGGAAGGGUCACACAUACACUCCCAUCUACAGUGAUGGGGCUGGGGGUUUCCUAGAUCCUCAACAUCUCCACUCUGAUCAAAGUAACAACAACCCCACUUUCCUUAGGAAACUAAGGAAAGCUGACAUGUCCCCCACAUCCUGCUGAACUGCUACCUCUGCACUAUUGAAAGCUUCUUAACAAACUGCAUCAGAGAGUGGUAUGGCAACUGCACUGUCUCAGAGCAGAAGACCCUCCAGCGGGUGGUGAAAACAGCCCAAUACAUCACUGGUGUUCAGCUACCUUCUAUCAGAGACACCUCUUACCCCAGCCACGGACUGUUUACUCUUCUCCCAUAUGGGAGAUGUUAUGGAGUCUUUUCACACCUGCAGACUCAGGAGCAGUUUCUUUCCCUCGGAUGUCAGCCUCCCGAACUUAGGCGCUGAACACUACAUUUAACUUGGGCCUCUUAACCUCCACACUGCUCAUUCUUUUGUACAUUUCUAUCUCAUGCUGCCACUUGCACUUUAAUGGUAACUGGCCAU